GUUAGACAUAGUAAAUAUGGCUUGAGAUACCUGUAUAACAGGACUAUUGUGUACAUGUUUAUACUUUAAUAUCUUCUAUGGACUGUACAAAAUAGUCACAGAUCCUCUAUCCUUCCAUUAUCACUGAACGUGAGACUCACUAUAAGUUGGGUGAAUGCCACAUUCCUCCAUCCCAAAAUGUGAACGGGUUAACAUGUCAUUGAGUGUAAAACCCCAACCAAG